rnacentral:lncRNA from 1 species
CACGGAUAAGCGCAGAGGAAUAGGGGGUAGACCACAAACCCUGAAUAUCUAACAUUGGUAUCUUGAGCAGGUUCGGUUGCGGUCACCCUGAUCCUAAUCGCCGGCCAAAUCCAUGCCAUCAUCGAUCCGUUCCGCUGCCAACUCUGCUGUAUUGCCGCUGAUGGCCUCUGAAUCAACCGCAAACUAUGUCCAAGCUCCACCCUCGACUCGUCCGAUCGGCCUAUGAUUAGCUGCAACGAGUGCACGUGAACUCUGAUGGAAGUUUUCCUUUUUCGCGAGGUUUUCACUCGAUCCCGAAGCCGAAGCACAUCAAUCAAUUGGAUUUGUUUUUUCAUGACGAGAUCGAGGAAGAUUAGCACUAGUAGUACGUGCUGGCUCGCUGACUCCUUGCCACACACGUGAUCAUGGAGGGGACAAACAACAGUACUUGUGUGUUGUGCAUG